rnacentral:rRNA from 1 species
ACACAUGCAAGUCGCGGGGUAACGACGGAGAAAGCUUGCUUUUUCCGGGCGACGACCGGCGCACGGGUGAGUAACGCGUAUCCAACCUGCCCUAUACAAAGGCACAGCCCGGCGAAAGUCGGAUUAAUGCCUUAUGAAGUGAGAAGAAGACAUCUGAUUUUCACUAAAGCUGAGGCGGUAUAGGAUGGGGAUGCGUCCGAUUAGGUAGACGGCGGGGUAACGGCCCACCGUGCCGACGAUCGGUAGGGGUUCUGAGAGGAAGGUCCCCCACACUGGAACUGAGACACGGUCCAGACUCCUACGGGAGGCAGCAGUGAGGAAUAUUGGUCAAUGGGCGCGAGCCUGAACCAGCCAAGUAGCGUGAGGGAAGACGGCCCUAUGGGUUGUAAACCUCUUUAGUCCGGGAAUAAAGUGGGCGACGUGUCGCCUAUUGCAUGUACCGGAAGAAUAAGGACCGGCUAAUUCCGUGCCAGCAGCCGCGGUAAUACGGAAGGUCCGGGCGUUAUCCGGAUUUAUUGGGUUUAAAGGGAGCGCAGGCGGUCUGAUAAGCGGGCAGUGAAAGACGGUGGCUCAACCAUCGAGGUGCUGUCCGAACUGUCGGACUUGAGUACGUGCGAGGCAGGCGGAAUUCGUGGUGUAGCGGUGAAAUGCUUAGAUAUCACGAAGAACCCCGAUUGCGAAGGCAGCUUGCCAGUGCGCCACUGACGCUAAAGCUCGAAAGUGCGGGUAUCGAACAGGAUUAGAUACCCUGGUAGUCCGCACGGUAAACGAUGGAUGCUCGCUGUUCGUUGCGUUUAUAGUGAUGAGCGGCCAAGCGAAAGCGUUAAGCAUCCCACCUGGGGAGUACGCCGGCAACGGUGAAACUCAAAGGAAUUGACGGGGGCCCGCACAAGCGGAGGAACAUGUGGUUUAAUUCGAUGAUACGCGAGGAACCUUACCCGGGCUUGAAUUGCAGCUGCAUAGACCAGAGAUGGUCUUUCCCUUCGGGGCUGCUGUGAAGGUGCUGCAUGGUUGUCGUCAGCUCGUGCCGUGAGGUGUCGGCUUAAGUGCCAUAACGAGCGCAACCCCUCUCUCCAGUUGCCAUCGGGUCAUGCCGGGCACUCUGGAGACACUGCCACCGCAAGGUGCGAGGAAGGUGGGGAUGACGUCAAAUCAGCACGGCCCUUACGUCCGGGGCUACACACGUGUUACAAUGGUGGGCACAGAGAGUCAGAUGCGGGCAACCGCUUCUUAAUCCCGAAAUCCCAUCUCAGUUCGGACUGGGGUCUGCAACCCGACCCCACGAAGCUGGAUUCGCUAGUAAUCGCGCAUCAGCCAUGGCGCGGUGAAUACGUUCCCGGGCCUUGUACACACCGCCCGUCAAGCCAUGAAAGCCGGGGGCGCCUGAAGUCCGUGACCGCAAGGGUCGGCCUAGGGGAA